rnacentral:rRNA from 1 species
CCUACGGGGGGCAGCAGUGGGGAAUAUUGCACAAUGGGGGAAACCCUGAUGCAGCGACGCCGCGUGAGUGAAGAAGUAUUUCGGUACGUAAAGCUCUAUCAGCAGGGAAGAAAAUGACGGUACCUGACUAAGAAGCCCCGGCUAACUACGUGCCAGCAGCCGCGGUAAUACGUAGGGGGCACGCGUUAUCCGGAUUCACUGGGGGUAAAGGGAGCGUAGACGGCGGGACAAAUCGGGAGUGAAAGGCCUGGGCCCAACCCCGGGACUGCUCUGGAAACUGCCGGGCUGGAGUGCUGGAGGGGUAAGGGGAAUUCCGGGUGGAGCGGUGAAAUGCGUAGAUAUAAGGAGGAACACCAGUGGCGAAGGCGGCUUACUGGACAGUAACUGACGUUGAGGCGCGAAAGCGUGGGGAGCAAACAGGAUUAGAUACCCGAGUAGUC